ensembl:lncRNA
AGAGCAGGCACACGCAGACGCAGGGCUUACCUGCCACAGGCUUUCUCAGUUUCAAUUACAAAGAUCAUAAGUGCGAUAAGUGGUCAGUUACCAGAACAACAGCAGAAAGGAAGUGGGGGAAGGAGAUAGGACUGGCUCCUGCAGAAGAGCACAGCACCACAUGUUAUGCUUCAAAAGGAUGUCAUAAACUGUUAAGAGAGGGGAAACAGCAGCUACCCUUGCCAGUUUCAUCUAUCUCAGCAUACACAAGAAAACCUUGUGAAUCUUGCUAUGAAAAUUAUCAACAAAGAAGAAACAGGCUUCCAUCAUGCACCAAAACUUGGAGGGAUGAGCUUAUACCAUCCUGACCAUCUGACUGAAAUUGAAAACUUUUCCUCUUCCAUUAAUAGCUUUUCCAAUUCAGCAGUUCAAAGCUGCAAUCCCUCACAGCCUAUGCAAGGAUUUGGGAUCAUUUUAUAAAUCUGUGUGGCAAAUGAACAUGAAAGAGAAGCUCUCCUUAUGGCUGGGAACUAUCCUUUCGGGGGAAAAAUGUUAUUAGCUUUUUAGAGAGCAUUUGCAAGGGUAAUUUGCACUACAGCAUCUCUUUUUAUUGGCCUUGCAAGCAAGCGUUGAAACAAUUUGUUUUAUCAUAUGCGUUCACUUUGAAUAUAGACCUCAUGUGAAAUGCUUUACUUGAAACAGGGAACAAUGAGUUUGAAAAACAAAACUAAAAAAGGUUUGGAGUAUGGCAGUAAUUCAUUUCAAAUAAAGAAAUAUUGAAAGUGGAAGGGAAAAGGAAAAAGGAAAGAUAAAUGAGAACGGAAAGGAAAAGCUUCUGAUUAAGUCUGUCAUAACUUAAGGCAGCUAUGCCAAAGCUCCCGGUUUGGUCCAACAAUUUCACAGGUAUUAUAACAGGAGGGUAAAUCACUACUCCUGGACAUCAUUUGUAUUUCAUUACUUCUUAAGAGUCCUCAGGCAAAACCAGAGCCCUACCACGUGAGAGUCUGCACACGCAGUAAAGAAACACCACCACCCAUGGACAGCUGACAACAUUCAGCUGUAAAUCAGGAUUAUCAUCACCAGUAAAGGCCAGUAGCAUAGGGUAGAGGGUUUGAUUUAAGAAGCACAGAAAUAGGUCGAAAUCUUCCACUGUGUUUUGACUCAUGAAAAAGCACCCAGAUAGUGCCUGAAAAAAAUGAGCUGUUCUCUUCCACUGAAACCUCCAAGUCGUACCACCUUGCUCUGCGAGGCAGUUCUUCAACACAGAUGACUCCAAGCAAAGGGAACUGAUCUUUUUGAUGCUGUGGUACAACGGAACGCAGACUGAGGAUCACUAAUUCUGACAGCGGCAUUUCACUCUGCUGGGGCAAACAACUUCCAUUUUUUAAGGAGGAAAAAAUUAUUCUGCAGACAACUAGGACGCAAUACUACAUUUGCAGUGAAAUUACAUAUCAUUUGAACUGGAAAACCAGGGAAAAUACUUCCUUCCAAAUAAAAUCAGUAACAAAAAAGUCUGUGGAAGUGUAACAAGGAAUAAUAAAAUCAAAGGUCACAUGUU